GGCGCCGGGGCUUAGUUGGUUAAAGCGCCUGUCUUGUAAAUAGGAGACCGUGAGUUCGGAAUCUCAUCGGUGCCU